GUCGCCACCCCUCCCCCACUAUCUCAUGCGCCCUGGGCCGCUCACCAUCCCCCAUCCUCAGCGCGCCGGCCGCCACCAUCCCCAGCGUGCCAACCUCCAGUUCUUCACCUGCCCCAUCGUGACGCCGCCCAAUCUUCUUCCUCCUGGAUUCUCCUAGCCAUGGCGAGCGCCACCUCCCUACACCAAGCUCGCUCUAGACUACGCAGAGCCGCCAACCCCCACCACCUCUCGUGCAGUACAACCCCGCCCAUGUACGAGGUUCAAAGACCUUGCAGAGAGAAGGAAAGGAGAUGUUAAGGUCGGCAGCUUCCUCGUUGCCAUCCUGGUAUGGUCGUGGCUUUUCUGUGGCACACCUCCCACUGCUUCUCCUCGCUGGACUAGUCGACCUACAAGAGAUCAACUCAAACAAAAAGUACUCAAGGUGGACUUAAGCUGAACUAGUGACGGUCUUAGAAACUGCAUGUUUGAAAGUAGUCAAGGUUCUUGAAAGCUAAAAAGUUCGAACCUUGUAAACGACAGCAAGCUUUUUGCCAUUUGUUUCACUUAUUGGAGCGGUUUGCUAAUGGUUUCGUGUACUGUCUUAUCAAUUCUACCGUAGCUCGGAACAGCAGGAGAAAAAUAAAGAAAGUUCAAGUAAAAUCUCAAAUAAAAAUUCGGUUCAAGUUGAAGCCCAGGAGUAUACCCAUAUGGAGUGGACAUGGCAGUCGAUCUUGUUGACAAUUCUCAAUAAAUAGAUGGUGAAGUUAGCAAACGGCUGAAUCAGAUGGUGCCUACCCCUGUAAGUUCACUUUUCAUUGAGUAGUUAGAUGAAGAUUAAUCAUUUUCAGAAAUUCAAAGGUUUACGGUGCUAAUACCCAUUUCUUUCAGAAAAAUUAUCAGUUACAAGUAUCUUCAUUUUGUCGAAAGUUCUUCGGUAUAGCCCGCUCUCCAUCAAAGUAGAAGAGUGUGUGUUGAUUUUCCCUCCCUUGUUCUGAUUGAUAUCAUACAGAAGCUGCUACAGAUGAAUGAAUAUGGUGCAGUUGUUCCAUUCAUUAUAUGGGCAGCAACCUUGUUUAAAUCCUCCUUUGGCUUGGCUGGAACACGAGUUUCAGUAAACAAAAGGAAAACAAAAUGUAGGUGUUCGUCGCAUGUGUCCAUUCAAUAAGGGCUUCGGUGAUGGUCCGCUGCUGGUGGCCGCCUCAAUGUGGUUAAGUUUGGCGUAGUCGCAUGUGUCGCUUGCUGUUGUGGCCGGUCUCCAGGUACAUAGCGUUGUUCCUAUUCAUGCCUGUGUAUGUAGUGUUGCUCCGUUAAAUCAUUUGUUCAUCUUGUUUGUUCCAACCACACUGGAUGCCAGUACUAUUAGCUUGCACUAGCCUCGACAUGAGCAUCUCAAGCCGUUGUUAAUAGAUGUGAGUAGUACUGAUUGUUUUGCUUGAAUUGGCAUCUCAGAUUAUACUGGAGCAUGUGUUUUCACAGAUAGUUCAUGUUCCAGAUUGCCAAAAGUUCAAACAUAGUGAGAUGGAUGGGAAACUACGAGACAAAGAUGAUAUUUGGACAAAGUAAAAUUAGUAAAAGAAAGAAAACGCUAGAAGUUAAACUAGGGUAGCUUAAAAAGUUCAUGAAAAAUAAAUAUAAAAGUUCAGAGAAGAGGGUUGGAAAAGAUUUGGGAAAAGACACACACAAAAAAAACAUGGAAAAGGUCAGUUAAAAAAAAUACUUGCCAUAAGUAGUUAAGAGUUUAUAUGGAGUGGUUAGCAAUUCAGUAACUAGAAAAAGGAUACAUCAGUUCAAAUAUACUUGCCAUAAGUAGUUAAGAGUUUAUUUGAUGUGGUUAAAUAAAUCAAGCUAAUUUUCUGCAGUUCUCGGGUUAGAAAAAGGUUUCACUUAACUUUGUUGAAGUUCAUCUAGAAUCUUGGAAUCCGAUGUGGUGUGUGGCAAGGUAUGCACAGAAUGAUAUCUACCUCGAUGAGUGUAAUGUGUUUUCUCACUUCCAGGCCUAGGAAUGUUUUUUCAUUGGACAUACUUCAAAUAUUUUAUAGGUAAGUAAACCAAUCAUGUUUUUGUUGUUCGGAGGGAAAUCAUAAUAAGUUCUAAGGAAAUAAAUAUAGAAGUUCAUAUUUUAAAACAAAUAAAGUAUUUGGAAAGUAAAAUGAAGUAUUUCAAAGUACAGAACUUUUUAGGUUUCAUUGCAAAUUUGUAAUGUUACUGUACACGAACUCAUGCAUGCUAAUUGGUGGUUGUUGUGUGUGUGCAAGGUACAUCCAACGACAACGAGCAGGCGGCAAGUGUACUUAUGCGCAGUGGGACGGUGGCACAGAGUAGUUGAGUAGGUGUGCGUGGUGAGCAGCUACAGAACUGAUUCUGACACGACAGUAUUAGUCCCACAUAGCCUCUCAACACCCCCUGCUUGAACCUUCACAACCCAGGUUGUUCACUUCCUCGACACGAGGCCGUUCGAUGAUGCAGCGCUCAAGCCGUUCACCCUUACCACCAUAAGCCAUUCACCUCCGGUACACGAGGCCGUGCGACGACGCAACAAUCACACCGUUCACCUCUGCCAUAGGAGGCCAAUGGAAACGCUAAGGAGUUGUGUUCUUUUUCAGUACAUGUUUUGUGUGCUUUUUAGUACACCUACUCAACGAUUCAAUGUCCAAUUUCCUCUUUUUACGUGUUCUUCCUAUAGCACAACAAGUGUUGUGUGUUAUGCCUUAAUAAGCAUUUGAGAAAAUCUUGUAUGGAUCUGAACUAGCAUAUGUUCUGUUCUGUUCUUGUAAAUGAAGCUCCACUUCUGUUUUGUUUGAA